AAUGAUGGUUUAGUCGCUUUUCAUUAUAAGUCUUAUGGGGCUUUUUUGAUACACUGAAAAAGCUCCAUAAUCUCUGUGGGGGGAUUUACCCACUACAGAAAUUAUAGAGCC
rnacentral:ncRNA from 1 species